GAUGAACGCUAGCUACAGGCUUAACACAUGCAAGUCGAGGGGAAACGACAUCGCAAGCUUGCUUUUGAUGGGCGUCGACCGGCGCACGGGCGAGUAACGCGUAUCCAACCUGCCCAUCACUUGGGAAUAACCUUGCGAAAUUAAGACUAAUACCCAAUGAUAUCCCACGAAGGCAUCGGAAUGGGAUUAAAGAUUUAUCGGUGAUGGAUGGGGAUGCGUCUGAUUAGCUUUUUGGCGGGGUAACGGCCCACCAAGGCAACGAUCAGUAGGUGUUCGGAGAGGAAGGUCCCCCACAUUGGAACGGAGACGCGGUCCAAACUCCUACGGGAGGCAGCAGUGAGGAAUAUUGGUCAAUGGGCGGGAGCCUGAACCAGCCAAGUAGCGUGCAGGAAGACGGCCCUAUGGGUUGUAAACUGCUUUUAUAAGGGAAUAAAGUGGGUCACGUGUGACUUUUUGCAUGUACCUUAUGAAUAAGGACCGGCUAAUUCCGUG
rnacentral:rRNA from 1 species